GCCUGCCAUUGUGUGUUCACUGUUGCUUCCUGAGACCAGGGACACAAGACUCUUGUCUGAGAGCCUUCGGCUGGCCCGCCUCACUCCAGAGCUGGACUCCCAGCCAUGAGGACCCUCACCCUCCUCGCUGCCAUCCUCCUGCUGGCCCUGCAGGCCCAGGCUGAGCCUCUCCCAGGAAGAGCCGACCUGGCUGAUGAAGAGGAGCAGGUUGCAGUCAUCUUUCCGGGGGAGGAAAGCUCCGCUCUCCAAGAUGCAGGUGUAUGGAGAAGCGAGGCCUGCCAUUGCAGAAUAUUGUGUUUUCCAUGGGAACGUUCAAGUGGAUCGUGCAGAAGAAACAUUUUUCGCUUCAGACUCUGCUGCCGCUGAGAAUCUAAAGCUGUAAAAAAUGAUUUUAAAAAUUUCCCUGAGGGCCAGGGGAGUAGCUCAGCAGUGUAGCACUUGCCUGGCAAGCAUAAGGCCCUGAAUUUGAUUCUCAGUACUAAAAAAAUAAAAAUAAAAAUUGCAUUGUAACCUAAGAGGCAAUAGAUUUUAUCCCUGAGCCAUGUCCUUAACUUUCUUUCUCUACCGCAAAUAAAUCCCCUGCUG